rnacentral:lncRNA from 1 species
UGCCUCAAGCACCAGAUUCUUCAAAGUCACUUACUUAUGACAACUAUCUGCUUUAUGGGCAAAAUGCACCAUUGGAUCCAUUUAGGAAUGUCAUAUCUCCUAUAGAUGUAUUGUGCUUAAAUUUGCUACUUUUUUUUUGACAAAGCAAUAGAUCUUUUUGGUUGCAGUCCUUCGCAAACUAAUUGUAUGGAUAGUCAUCAGAUUCUCUUUUGUGGGAUUGGUCCUAUUGCAGGGAAUUAUGUGUGAGAAGAUUUGUACGAUAGAAGUAAAUAAUUGGCGAGGACAAUAAUCUAGAGAACUUCAUUAUUUGUAUAUAUUAGUUAUCAUACUAUUUUUUUGGAUGUCGGGUGAUGAAGGUUGGGGUGGUACAAGGCAAGGUAAAGAAA